ACGAAUUAACAAAUCAAAAACCCUUGGUCUUCCUCUUCAUUCUUGGCGCGAUAGAGAAACUUUCACUCUCCCAGUCUCAGAGAUUCGGACAUCUCAAGCUCUCUCACGGACGACGCCCGACAUCUGACGAGACGACGACCGACGCCCAACGAAGCGACGACCAACGCCCAACGAAGCGACGACCAACGAUCUUAGACUCUCAGCAAUCAACAAUCAGCUCUCUGCAACUAUUCGUAUUUGGUGAUUGGCUAUCAACUCCUUUGUAGCCAGCAACCACAGCACAAUGACCAUCAUCCAACAACAUUCAAAGGUUGAACAUGGUAAAGGAGGAUACUUCACACGUGUAGAUGGAGACAUUUGAUUAAACUUUACAUGACCCGUUUUUUUUUUUUUUGGAUUGAGUUUCAUGUAUUCAAGAACCUUUAAUUUGUAAUAAACACAUAAAACGUUAUUUUUUAGCACAGUCAAUGAAAACCGUUGCUGAAGGUUA